AAACACUGGAGCAGCAAGCUGCAGGACAAACCCCUAAAACACAUCAACACAAACAAGACACGCCAUUAACAAGCGGCAUGUACAUUGUUGUAACAGUACGUUUUGAAAUGUGAUACAUUUGGCUUUUGUUUGCACGUAGUUAUGGCAUGUUAUUGAAUAGAUGGUUGGCUAAUGACUUUGUCCAGGUAAAAUUGACACUUUUGAGGAACAACGUGUCCUGUAAACCUGUGUAAUUUUUUACAUUUGUGGAAAACACAUUAAUAAAUUAAUUUACAGGAGUAUAAUGAGAGAUUUUGUCUUAUAAGGUAUGCAGUUGACAGCUUGCACAAAAGAAUGUGCGAGAACUGGAUCUCAAGGGACUUUUUUUAACAGUAGAAUUUCAGAUUUUCUCACAUUAAAUUUUCUCCACUGUCUAAUCUCAGUGUGUAGCGCCUCCAGUGGCCAAACGUUGUAACAACAGGCACAAGCACAAACAUGAGGUCAACCAAAUGACUUAUCAACCACAACACUGUCUGAAGGUUGGGGUCAGGGUCAUUUAAAAACGUGAAUAUUAGUCAAUAAGUUGGUGUUUUCACAUUGUGUUCACUCAGAAAGAAAGGAAUAUCAACACAAUUUUUUUUUCACUGUCCAUCUGUUUACUUUUAAAUAUUACUGAAGCAGGUGUAAGUUUAUAACAAAGUGUAUAAGACAAAAAUGAAGACCUGUUUAUCAUUUAGCUACAUUUGUGUCUGAAAAUAUCUAUAGAAUGAGGUGUAGAUAUAACUAUAGACAUAGCAAAUAUAAAUGUUAUAUAUUAUCUGUUGGGUGAAUUAGGGAAGAUGGACAAUUUUGUCACGCAGAUGAAUGGAAAAAAAAAUAGUCCCACUCUACCCUAAUUCGCCUUAUGUUAUUCAUCCCUCUUGGGUCGUAAUACAGAAACUUCCUGUCUUAAGUCUGACAGUAGGUUAAACAUACUGUAUGAAAGCCUAAAAUCAUCAUGAUUACUAACCAGAUAAGAUAGGAUUCUAGAGUUAGGAUGUUUUGGUAAUACAGCUGAGGUCCCCAACUAAGAAAGACUUUUUACCUGCAGUUGUUUCAGUUCAAGAUAUGAUUAGCAGAGAGAAGCUAGACAUUGACAAAAUCCCAGUGGAACACUUUGAAAGGUGAUGGCUCAAAGUUGAUCCCUCUAAUGAGAUUUCACAGAAAAGCACUGAACACAAAUUAGUGACCAUAGUACUGUCACUUUCUGUUUCAUGCAGAGUUUGUAAUGCUGCCAGAUUAGAUUUCAUCGAAGCACUUCAGCCAGAUUUACAGUCUUCGUCUUUGCCAGAUUUUGCACUCCUGCUGAGCUGAAGUCAGGCUAAUUGGCAACUGCUAGAAGAGUUAUGUAUGUAAUGAUAAUCAUAGCUCAGAGGUAGAGGAAAAGACAGAGAAGUGUCCCCGUAAAUUAAUAAAUUGAGCAUCUUGUUGAGAAUCUGCAGGUGAUGGAGUGUCAAUAGCACAUGUGGUUGGCAAGCUUUCUGUUCUUUAGAACUAUUGUAAGAUAAUAUUCCUAAGAUAGGAGAAACUUGAUACAUGAUAAAUACCUGACAUGGCAAAACUACGAAAAAAUAGGCAGAGUUGGAUACACUACAUUCUAAGGAAAACGGCUUAAACUAAAUCUGCGUAUUUAAAACCUUUUUUGUAAAGGACAAAUGUUAUUAUCCACAAUGUGGUGAUGCAGUAAGAUAAGCAAACAGAUGCUUCAUUCAGCUGCCACUCCUAACAAAGCCCUGCACAUCACAGUCAACACAAAUGUGCCAUGGUACAGUAUGUCUCUGUCUGUCAACAUAGCCAGGGUGGAGAUGUCACAGACUUGCUCCAAUAAACAAAUCCAUUGCACUGCUACUGCACAGUUUAAAAACUAGUUUGAAAACCAUUACAACUGGUUUCAAUGUACAUAUUAUUUUAAAUACAGAAACACUGAGUGGCACUAAUUAUCUACACAGUAACCCCUUAUGUAACAAGUCCUCAUUACUGAUUAAUGUUCUCAUGCCUAUAUGAAUGCCACACCUGAACCAUUUUUUGUGACGUUUUCUUUAGAAAAUGCAUACGCAGGGCACAGCGAUAAUUACUAUGAAAGAAUUCACUUUCGGACACUCAUGUUUCCAUUCUGUGAAUAGCUGCUUCUUAUUAGGUCAAAAAUUGAAAUCUAGUUCAUCCAAGAGGCUGACAAUAGAUUUCAAACAGAAAAGAAGCACUCACCAUACCGAGGAACAAAAUAUGUAAAUAACCUCAUCUAUAGUGUAAACUGUGUAAUGACUUUGUAUCCUGCGAAGAAAAACAAAACAAUGCAAGUUAUGUAAGACUUGCAUAGACCAUCUAUAACUGUUUCCAACGCGGUCCACAGCAGAUGAAGAGCGCAGUAUUGCACUUCACUGAACUUGACAUACCAAUUUUCACACCUUGUAGAGCAAGACUUGCAGUAUUUUACUUCUUGCCUGUUUGAGUGGUUAGGCGAGACCAACUUUCUUCACCCUCACUACACACCUAAACAAUUAAUUAAUCACCUGUCAGUAUUAACGAUACACUCACACCACUCCAUUAUUCUUUCACUUACCGCCUGUCUCUCCUCUUAAAUAGACUAGGUGAGUAGGGAGGUGGGAAGCUCAUGGCUGUGGCUCGAUGUGGACAGUAGAAUCUGGAAAGUCACACCUCAAGAUUGUGGGUUUUGUCCAGCUUUACAGUUCGACCAGUGUGAAAGUGUCCCAUUUUCUCAACUGGAUGGGAGGGAGAUGGACAUACAGGGAUGCUGUCCCCCCCCACCCAACCCCCAGUUCUCUGUCUGUCUGUCAGGAGAUUUAGGUAAAUACUCAGAAUUUUCCUUUAGAUAAAUGUGUUCAUGGGUAGUUACUUUUUUUGCAACAUUAAUGAAAGCAUAAACCUUUUAGACUGGGUUCCUAAAUCUUUUGACCAGUACAUUUUCCUACUGGCUUUUCCAACAAUAACUUUUCCAGUCAUUACAGGAUAGGGAUUUUUAUUUAGCAUAAUAUUAAAUUAUUUUACAGAGAUUGCACUCACAAUGAGCAAUUUCCAGCCCAUGAAAUAUUUCAGAGAAAUGUUUUACCUAUAACAUUUUUGUAAUUUAUCUCACUUUUCUAGGUCUUAAAAUCAUAAUUUUAAAAUUCCAAGUCAGUUACCAUGACCAUGGGAACACUGAUCGGAGAAUGACAAUAAUUUUAAUUGUUUUCUGAACAACUUAACAAUGCAGUACAGAUAUAAUCUUGGUCUCUCUGUGUUGCAAUCUGGAAUAUCUGAGCAUAACCACCUCAGAUGACUCUGCAGAAAACAGCAAAGCACCCAUCAAGAAUUUUCCAUAACUCUUUAUGGGAAAUAUUGUUUACAGUACAAUUACCCUUUUCUUCAAAGAUAAGGCAACAUGUUUCAACUGUACAUGCUUUGAUCUCACCAGACACAGCUUUGUUUUGUGACUAGUCUGGCAAACGGGAUGAAGCCAUGAGUGAAUUUGCAAAAAAAAAAAAAGGCAGGUAUGUAACACAGCAUAGUGUGUACAUGCAGCAUAUGCCACUGUGUUUGUUUGCCCACAAAAAGCAUGUUGAUACAGGAGACGUGAAUGCAGUAUGUUAUGUAAACAAUUGAUUAAAAAUACAUUACUUUAAUCCUGUGAAUAUGUUUAACUGUCUAGCUGGGCUGUGUCAAGAAAGGCUUGUUUUAUCUAGUGUAAUUCUUACAGAACUAUAUCAUAUCAGCCCAUAGACAGACAGACAGACAGAGAGAGAGAGAGAGAGAGAGACAGACAGACAGACAGACAGACAGACAGAUAGAUAGAUAGAUAGAUAGAUAGAUAGAUAGAUAGAUAGAUAGAUAGAUAGAUAGAUAGAUAAGCCUUAACUACUUGUUAUGUUCCAGGGGUAAAACUUGAACAUGUUUUGUGCAUUUUAAUAUUUUCUUUUUGCCAUACAGUAACUAUGCCAUGUCAGGGUGGCUUUCCAUCAUGUAUUGCACAGAAACUCUUGACCUACUUGAGAGUCAGUAGGGUGAGUGACAGGUCCUGCCUUGAAUUGCUAAUAGGACAAGAAUUUAGGCUAGAGAACUACAAAUCAGGACACUUACAGUACCUCUGCAACACUUUUUGAAACUACACUGAAUGCUCUUAGUGACUAUUAAAUAUGCAUUGUUCGGAAACCGGCUUCAGCUAGCCUUGCUUUCAAUGCUGUGCAUGCAUAUACAAUGCUCAUGCCUGCAUGUUUCUCAUUAACAUGCAAUGAAACAAGAGAAAUGAGGUGCAAAACAGGUCAUUAUAUCACCCCUGCCUCCACUUGAGUAAUUUCUUAGAGUCUGCAUUUUUGUGCAGUGACAGACUGAACCAUUAUGAUUGGUCAGAUUCUCAAUGGCACUAUUAUCUUAGGGCAUGAAUGAACUGCUUAUGUAAGCCUCUAUCUGAACAGUUAUAAAAGCAUCUCUAAUCAUACAGUUUGUAUUAGCAGGUGUUUUGUACCUUUACAGCCCAGGUGUGUCACAGAUCCAACCUUUUUGUUGCUUUGACAUCUGUCGAGACAAGACUUAUCUAUAGGCCAAUGUAGACCAGAGUGCUUAUAGGUUAAACAAACAUCUCUGUGGUUACCCAGUUUCCAACUGGCUGCCUCUUUGCACAUGGAAAUUCUGCAUAGCCUAUGCCAAAGACAGAAUCACAAUGACAGACAGCCUAGGCCCCCUGUAAUACACAGAGUAAGCCACUUGAGGCUGUCAAAUAGGACAUUCAAAGCCCCUAUCCCUGCUGGAUAUUUACACCCUCUUAAGAGUUUUGUAAUCCGAGCAGAUGAACUCUCAUCUGAAUGAAUUUUUGCAACUAAAGAAGCUUCUCUCCUGCUGUAUGGGCUUGUAUUUUUUAACAGAUUUAAAGAGUGGCUAGACAGAGAAAAAUAAGGUUGCCCAUUUUUGAUCAGUGAAAUAUUGGUAGAGAUAUGAGUUGCAUAAUCCCACACUAGGGUUUACAGACUGGAAAGUAACACUUACAUUUUAUGGUACAUAUUCUUUUCACAUACACUUGCUUUGCAUGAAACAUGCAUGAAUGUAGAGUGUAUUACUACACAUGCAAAUUGUUUUUAGACAUUAUUUGUUUUAUGAAAAUUAUUUGUCUGCUCUAAUGAUAUAUUUAAAAGUUACAUAACAAACAAUAUAGGGUUCAAGACUGAGGAAACUACAGAUAAAUCUGACUAUUGAAUGUAAAAUGCUUGAGGUACAGAGAAUGCUUCAUUUAUGCUAUUUUUACCCUUUUUGUCUUAAAAAUAUUAAAGGGACAAACCACUGAAACCUAUCUACAUCUAGAUCAAGGCAUUUCAAGCAACAAAUGGAAGGCCACUACCUUUAUCAUCACUACCAUAUAAUCAUCUUCAUGAGCUUAGAACAUUAAUCCCAAGGUUAUGUUGAAUAAAAUUUGAAAACAUUUUUAAAAUCCAUUUUAAAACAUACAUUCUCAAGUUAGUACAUUGAGCUACUGUAUGUAUACAUUACAAGUCCUAAUGUACCUAAUUUCUCACAUCUGCAAGUUGUUUCUAAUAGGGUACCUCUGCAAGGUCAAAAGUGUGAUGGGUCUGUAUAUGGUGCAGAGUACAUUUUAUGAAGAACUCGGUAUCUACGGAUAUGUACCCAUGAUCCACAUGUUAAAGCAGCCCCUGCUGUGCAGACAAGAAGACAGAUCGUUCCAGAUGUGGCUGAGCUGCUGCACACCCCCUUAUUUAUAAUGCAUUGUUUUCUAAAGGAGAACUGUCAGUGUGCUUUACACGUGCAUGGCUACUUACAGGUCAUACUAAUCGAUGCCUCUCAUUAGGUCGUGACCUCCCAUGAGCUCUGCAAUAAGGAAGAGCAGUUUACCUAAGAAAAUGGACCUUGCAUGUCACAGCAGGCUUUCGUUACAAAAUACAGCCAGAUCAUACAGUCAUUCAAAUGCAGCACUUUCUCUAAUGCAGUGCUGUCAUUAAGGAUGUAUUCAUAUAAGGCUUCAGUAUAUGUUUCAUCAGCCUUUCUAAAAGCUUUCGAGAUGUAUCUAAAGUUUACAGUGGUCUUUUAAAGUUAAUACAUAUUGCACUUAAGUAAGGGAUAAUUCCAGGCACAAAAUAAACCUUGACAGGGUGAUUAGGACUAAUCCUGAAGGGGUUUAUUCUGUGAUAAUAAGCAAUUGACUGUACAUUAACAAAAAAAAAAAAUGUUACAUAGUGUAGCUUUAACUAAUGACAUUACCAUUGCCAUCAUCAUAUAGCAACGGAAAGUGUCAUUUACUGCCACAUUUAGGCAAAAGGAGGUCUGACGUGAGCCACAGAUAUGUUUUUUUGGGUAGCCUGUUCCUUUCUUGGCUUCAAAGUGGCAGCAUUACAAGCAUAACCCCAGUGUUCUGGCUUCAGUAGAUAAGUGGACAUGCCAGGAGAAUGGUGGAACAUCAGGCCUCUGAUGUCAGAGCUCGCUCAGUGCAUCCGCUCUAAAGUAGAUAGGCUGGCAUCAACACAAUGUGCAAAGCAAGCACUGAGCUUGGCAUCAAGCCUUCUGCUAAAUCCAUUCAUAAGUGCAUCAACUGAAAACAAAACAUGAGUGUCUGGAGUGGUACUAAUUUAUUUUAUCAGGUACACUUCACUGUCUAUUGGCCAGGGAAGUGCCUGUUUAUUUUCUGUAGGACCAAUGAGCCUAGCAUAAUAGAUUAAAGCAAUUCAAUGCAUGUUUAUUAAUUACAUUUUUAUGAUUCAUUUAUACUUUGUGGUCAGUGUAAUUAUCAUAGUAAAAGGUCACCUUAAAUCAUCUGUCCUCUUGCAUUGCCAAUUUGUGUUUGAGUUCUGCUUGAGUUUUUCAUUUACUGCCUUUUACUGUCAUUCAUUUAGAGAAGAAAAUAUAUAUCCCUGUAAUCAACAUGAUUGCACAGGAAAUCGACAUGUAUCCUCUGAACGUUCAUGCACCCUAAAAUUGACACUACUUCUAAACUCUUUACAAGCACCAUUAGACAUUUUGCGUGAAUUCAAGUGUGAACACAUUUCCCUCUAGCACAACUGAUAGUGCAUUGUGCAAGCAAUUUCCGAAACACAAGGUUCUGUUCCCUAGGAAGUAACCACGUUCACAUAAACUGUGGUGAACGCGAUUCAGAGGUUGCAUUUUCACUCUAAAACAUUACAUUUUUACUCCACUGAUGGUUAGGUUUAAGUUUGGGGCUUGGGUUAGGGGGUAUGGUUAAUCAAAUAUACAUUCCUGUUGACUGCAUUACAUCAUUUACAACUUAAAGUCGCUUUUGGCCCACUUUGUCAACAUUACACCUGAAAACUGGCACUCACACAAGCCCAUAUGUUUAACAACACUUCUAGCUUCAGCAAUUGGGGCAGUGAUUUGAAUUUCAGUAAUCACAGACCGAUUUCAGCAGCAGAACAUUUGACCUACUGUCGCAGAAUUCACAGUGUGAUCAGUGUGGUAUUAUGUGCACUGAAAUAGUUUGUCCUCUAAAUCAUAUGAUGUUGUCAUUAGAUGGUUUCCAAAGACAACACAGAGACAGCCUUUGACACAAUUGAACCAUAAACCUUUAAGCAAACAUUAAUGUCUAAAUAACUCUAAGGAACAGGGGCAAAGUUCAAAAAAUAUACUCUUAUCUUUGUGCAUGUUGACAUAGAGCACACACUUGCCUAUUUAAAGAUGUACACAAACAGCAAAGAUGACGUUCCAUGAUUCAAAUCCUGUCACUUUCAUUGUUUAUCAGGGCAGAUAUGAGAGAGUGAUACAGGGGCUUUGGUUAUGGGGAUGUGAUCCAUAUGUUGGUUGAAGGCUGGAUGGAGCUGUCUGCCAGGCAGGGAAGAUUUACUGCGCCUGGACCGUCCGGCUCUCAUUCUUUGCUUUUUUCUCAAAAUCACUGCCCUAAACUCAUUCCUCUUACUUUGUCAUGAAUGGAUCCUAGCAAGGAAAGGAAUUUUCUCAUAAAUGGGGCUACCCCGUUCACCCUGAGACAUAACUGAAAUUUAACCUCCUUUGCCGUUGUGUUUGCUUACUUAUUUACGGUUAUGUACAUGCAUUCAUGCAAUUACCCCUGCAGAAUGAAAAUGUGUUAUCUUCGGCUUUGUACACUCUUAAUCUCCUCAACUCAAAAGGAUUAAAUAGCUAAAAGGUAUGAAAUGAAAGAUGAUACUUGUGCAGGUAGCUAAGUCGGUGACGUAAAAGCUCUGAUCAGAGUCAGCCAGCCGAAGAGAAAUACGUAGGUCAACUGAAAGGAGCAGAAAUGUUGGUAUCUGAUAUGCAGGACUUUUACACGUAGGCAGCAUUUGGGCCAAGUAGCUGUCAUCAUAUCUCAAAAACAAUCUAGGAGCCUAGUCAGACUUGAGAAAGUUGUCCAAAAAAUUAUGAUAUGUUGGCGCACUGCCACUGCUCCAGAAACACACAAUGUUCAGAGGAGUCAGGGGAGGUGAACACCAUACAUUACCCAACAACAGCAUGAUACAAGGCUUUUCUGAAUUUGAUUAAGGUGCUCUAAAAUGAUCUCAGAUUAUCUAGCAUGCAUAUUGAGAGGAACUUUGUGGGCAAAUCAUGCAUGUUGAAAGACCACAUAAGUAUGCAACAGUUUUACUCUCCUCUGCAAACUCCAAAUACAAAGGAUUGAAAAAAAAGCCAUUGAGAAUGUAUCUUUCUAUAUAGUGUUUCUAUAUAUAUUCUUAGGCACUGUAAAAAGAAGCCAGUCAGUGGAAAGCCUUCUCAGUCUAAUGCAAAUAGAAAUGACACAAGAAAGUGUGGUGCAUUGCACACAGAGUUUUUUCUUUACUUUCAUUGUUUUUCUUCACUCUAAUUCAGUGUCCAUGAUAACUGCAUAACGAAGCAUGGCUUUUUAUUAGCAUUUUCCAUUUCCUGGAUAUCAGUGCACUGCUCCAAUAUAUUGCAAAAAAGUUAAAGAUUAACUGGAGGAUGUAAGCUCACACCAGAUGUCACUAUCAAACUUUUUAGUGUUUAUAGAAACUGAUCUCUCUGUAUGACCCUUAUUCAUAUUCCUUCUUAAGAUGCCACUUUGAUUGUUAUUUUAAGAUAUGCAGCCACACAGGCAUUGCUUUUCAUAACAGUGAACAAUGUGAACCCGCCACACCCAGAGUAAUGCAGAAGUGCCAUUUGUUUUAAAUCAUCAGUUGCAGGAAACUUUUACAAAUAUAGUUUCAGGUUCUCUGUAGCAUUAAGGAAUAGUUCAUGCAAAAACUCAUCAACACAUGAUGUUGUUCUAAACCCGUAUGUCUUUCUUUCUUCCAUGAAUCACAAAAGGCAGUGUACGGCAGAUUAAGAAAUUAAGUCAUGCAGGUUUGGAACAACAUAAAGAUUCUAGAAAGAGACUCCAUGAGUGGUUCACUUCAAAUGGCGCUGUGGCAUAAACAUGGUAACCAGGAGGUUCUCAGAAAGCCUGCCCAAGUAAACAGACCACAGGAUGCGACUCUACAUGACUCCCACAUGAGGACAACAAGGAAGCUGGCUAGGACUGACCCUAUUAUUAGACACUCUGUGAUAGACGCUGGCAUAGAAGUUGUGGUUAAUGCUGUGCAUUUCAAGACCCUGACCACUUCUUUAGCUCCUCUGUGGAAACUGCACAAGUGAACUUGUAUCAAAACAAAGUGCAUGGAGCAAUGUUAUAUAAUGCAAAUACAUUCAUUAUUUUUAGUGUGACUUAAGAGUACAAAUAUUUUUGGGGCCACUGUAAAUCUGAAAAAAGCAUGAUGGUUUAUGUUAUGCAAUUUUUUAUUGCAAUUAUCAGGAAUAAUUCUAAAAAUAAGCUUAAGUGUGGGUAUCAUAAAUAUAGUCCUUUUUUUUAUCGUGCAGUCAGAUCAUUUGUCAUGAUCUAAACGGACAUAUGAUGCAACCCUAAGUAAAGUUUGUCCGGGGGAUGUCCUGUGUCUAUUUCCGAUCUUAAUGUCUCUGUGUGUAUGAGAGAGUUCUAGAGAGAGUUAAAGACAGAAGCAGAGAGCGAGAGAGAGACAGAGAGAGCAUAUUAAAACAAGGAAAUGAAAAAAAGGAAGAGAAAGUGGUGGGAAGGGAG